rnacentral:rRNA from 1 species
GAAUGGUUGGACGAGAUAUAAGCUGUUUCAUUUAAAAUUUAUAUAGAAUUUUAUUUUUUAGUUAAAAAGCUAAAAUAUGAUCAAAAGACGAGAAGACCCUAUAAAUCUUAAUUAUUUAAUAAUUUUUAAUUUAUUUUGGUUUUUUUUUGUUAUAAAUUUAUUAAAUAAUUUUAUUGGGGUGAUAUUAAAAUUUAAAUAACUUUUAAUAAUUUUUGUCAUUUAUUUAUGAUUAAGUGAUCCAUUAUUAGUGAUUAAAAAAUUAAGUUACUUUAGGGAUAACAGCGUAAUUUUUUUGGAGAGUUCUUAUCGAUAAAAAAGUUUGCGACCUCGAUGUUGGAUUAAGAUUCAUAUUUAAAUGUAGAAGUUUAAAUAUUAAGUCUGUUCGACUUUUUAUUCUUACAUGAUCUGAGUUCAAACCGGUGUAAGCCAGGUUGGUUUCUAUCUUUGAUUUAAUAAAAUAUUUUAGUACGAAAGGAAUUAAUAUUUAUUUUUAAGAAAUUAUUUUAUGAAUGAAUUUAAUUACUAU